rnacentral:rRNA from 1 species
CAGCAGCCGCGGUAAUACGUAGGGUGCGAGCGUUAAUCGGAAUUACUGGGCGUAAAGCGUGCGCAGGCGGUUGUGUAAGACAGGUGUGAAAUCCCCGGGCUUAACCUGGGAGCUGCGCUUGUGACUGCACAGCUAGAGUAUGGCAGAGGGGGGUGGAAUUCCACGUGUAGCAGUGAAAUGCGUAGAGAUGUGGAGGAACACCGAUGGCGAAGGCAGCCCCCUGGGCCAAUACUGACGCUCAUGCACGAAAGCGUGGGGAGCAAACAGGAUUAGAUACCCGCGUAGUCCCUGUCUCUUAUAC